GCCUAAAACAGAAUAUAUACAACUGCUGAGACUGCCUGUAGAAUUACUGAUCUAAAUCCAAAAACUUCAAGAUGAAGCCCUGCCUUUUAAUCGUGGUCUGUGUGUUUUUGAUUGCAUCGGCGCAAGUUGUUACGGCUGGCCACGGCUGCUACGGACCCGUUCACAGUGACCGUACUUGCAGUAGGUACUGCAAGAACGAACUUAGCUGUCAAGGAGGAUACUGCGAUUCGAAAAAGGCGUGGUUAGUUUGCAAGUGCUUCAAGUGCUAAAAAUAGUUGAAAAGAAAAAAACAUGGAUUCAGACAACACUAUUUGUUUGUCGCAACCAAUAACUAUUAAAUCAUAAGAAGAU